AAUCUGUGGUAUGGACAAACUCUUAAUAGUUCUUUUUAUCUCUCCCAAGCAUCAAAAAGAGAUUCACCAUCCUGUUGUGUUAAUCUGGUAAUUUGGUUCCGCAAGACA